rnacentral:lncRNA from 1 species
CAAAUUCAAAAUUUUAUUUAGUUUCCUAGACUCUGCUGAUGCCAAAUAAUUGAUUCCACCAUACAAUUUCAUUGAUUCACUCUACAAUUGUGAAUCAAUCAAAAACUAAAAUAAAAAACAUGUUAAUUUCUCUUUCUAAACUCAUAAAUCUCUCAAAUGACUCUAAAAUGACUCUAAAAGCUUUGAAAUAAUUUACCAUUUUGUUCUGUUUUGUUCUUCAUAUCAAGAACACGCAGAUUACAAUUUCUCUUUCUUCUUCACCACAUGUUAAUAGAGGUCAUUUUGUCGUGCUAAUCUCUGCCGCCUUGCAAGAAAUAUGGAUGAGCCUAUAGCAUAAAACACAACCUAUUAUCAGAAUACACGCAACAGAAUUAGAUCUGAGAUUAAUUAAAAUCAAAGAAGGUGGCUUAAAAUGAAAACUCUUAAAUACAAUUACUUGAUACUUGAUAGGAUUGUACAUGGAACUUUUAUGAAUAGAAUGGGAGACAAGCAUGCCGUUUCUGAAUUACGAGUGCCAUGUCCGACCAACUGAUUCCUACCGGAGUAUUAUUUUUGGAAUCUGAAUAGGACUCCCAACAAAUGCAUGAUUGAUGAAUAAAGGAAAACUAGCAACUAACUAGUAUAUAGAUUAC